UCUUUCUUUCUCUCUCUCUCUGUCUCUCUCUCUCUUUCUUUUUCUUUUUUUUCUGAAACAGGACUCCUCUCUAAUUCCUGUUAACUUGCUCUGUAGACCAGGCUAGCCUCAAACUCACAAAGAUCCACCUGCCUCUGCCUACUGAGUGCUGGGAUCAAAGGCGUGCACCGCCACUCCUGGCUACAGGGUCUGAUGAUCUUGCACACCCCUCCACUCCCUGCAGCUAAACCACCGCCGCCUGAUCCUGAGAACCGCUAUCCUUCUCCGAGCCUCAGUUUCCCCCUGUGUAACAUCGGGCCUGUUGUCUGGAACUGUUUACCCACCGCGUGGAACAAGUCCCGCUGUUGACGUCAGCCGCGCCCCCGUUCGCUCACCCGGAGGCGGUGUCUCUAUUUUAAGAGGCCGAGGGCGGGCUCGCAACUAACUGGGGCCCGAGCGACACCCACCACGCGCCAGCCCCACCCCAACUCCCGCCUUCCCGCCUGGGUCUCCGCUCUGCGUCUCCCUCGGGGGAGGGGGACCCGCCCCACUACACCCCCCUCGAAGCAGCUUUACUUAAUCUUCACUUCCCCAAACUCCGCUGCCCUGUGGCGGCCUCCCGGUCACCCUGCACGGUCCGCGCCACCUGCACCAGCCUCGGGUCGAAGGCAGCUGCAGCUUCGCACACAGCAGGCGCUCAAUAGAUGCUCACAGGAGAUCAGUAGGGGGCCGGUGGCUGUGCGGAUCCCCACCGCAAACCUGCUGGACGCUGCUGGACAGCAGGUGCUCAGAGGGCGCAAACGGACGCUCCCCGGCCCUCCCCACUCCCUGCCUCAGGAGGAUGGGGAAACUGAGACCGAGAGAAGCAGGGCAUCGCCUCCCAGAGUCUCCUAACCAAGAGCGCCCUGGACUCGCACUCUGAUCACCCCACACCCACGUUCCCGCUUCCCAGAGGCGAAAACGCGUGCGCAAAGAGCUCUGGGCAGCAGGGUCUCAUUAGCCCAGGCUGGCUUGAGAUCCCAUUGGUGGCUGCGGACGACUCUGAACGUCUGAGCCUCCUGCCCCCACCUUCCAAGUGCUGAGGUGCCGCCACAGCCGAACUUGCCAGGUGCUGGGCUCGAACCCCAGGCUCCGUGCAUGGCAGGCCUGUGUGCUGGCAGCUCUACAUCAUGUUUCCUGCAUUGCUGGGCAUGGAACGCCGCCCCGCACAUUCAGCCCCUCCGCUGGGACCCCUCCCGCUGGGACCCCUCCGCUGGGACCCCAGCUCCGUGCAUGGCAGGCCUGUGUGCUGGCAGCUCUACAUCAUGUUUCCUGCAUUGCUGGGCAUGGAACGCCGCCCCGCACAUUCAGCCCCUCCGCUGGGACCCCUCCCGCUGGGACCCCUCCGCUGGGACCCCUCCGCUGGGACCCCUCCCCAGCCCAGCUACCCGGAAUUUUAAAAGUUGUGUUGCCGGCCGUGCUGGCGCUCGCCUUUCGGCGCAGGGGAGGAGGCGGCAGCGGGGUCUUCUUAGGUCGUUCUUGCUUAGAGAGAGUGGCAGGCAAGCCUGGGCUAUGAGACCUCGCCGGUGCAUUCCAUCACCUCCACCAAACCCUGAGACACCCCCAUUCGCACCAGCGGGCUCUCCCGACGCCUGCUCCAACCCCCGCCAGUCCCUACUUGGCUGUGCUGGCCGUUUGCUGAGGGCGGCGUCUCUGGGUCUGCUAGCCGCCACUGGCUUCAUGCUUUUCAAGCUCCUUGUCUCGCUCGCUGUUACGGGUGCCUUCCUUUUCAUGGCUGAGUAGUAUUCAGCACUGUGGCCCGCGCUGGCUUGUCCACGCGCGGCCGCUGGCCACUCUGUUGUGUAGGUGUCCUGGGGUAGCUGCGAUGAAUGCU